UACAGAGGUCUCAAGCGUUGUUCGGAUUCAUUGGGCGUAAAGGGUGCGUAGGUGGCGCGGUAAGUCGGGUGUGAAAUUUCGGAGCUUAACUCCGAAACUGCAUUCGAUACUGCCGUGCUUGAGGACUGGAGAGGAGACUGGAAUUUACGGUGUAGCAGUGAAAUGCGUAGAUAUCGGGAGGAACACCAGUGGCGAAGGCGGCGAUCUGGGCAGACACUGACGCUGAGGUGCGAAAGCGUGGGGAGCAAACAGGG
rnacentral:rRNA from 1 species